UGGUGGAGUGAUUUGUCUGGUUAAUUCCGUUAACGAACGAGACCUUAACCUGCUAAAUAGUUGCACUAACUUUGGUUGGUGAUCAACUUCUUAGAGGGACUAUAGAUUCAAAUCUAUGGAAGUUUGAGGCAAUAACA
rnacentral:rRNA from 1 species